rnacentral:rRNA from 1 species
AUUGAACGCUGGCGGCAUGCUUUACACAUGCAAGUCGAACGGCAGCGCGGGCUUCGGCCUGGCUGCGAGUGGCGAACGGGUGUGUAAUGCAUCGGAACGUGCCCAGUAGUGGGGGAUAGCACGGCGAAAGCCGGAUUAAUACUGCAUACGACCUGAGGGUGAUAGCGGGGGACCGAAAGGCCUCGCGCUAUUUGAGCGGCCGAUGUCGGAUUAGCUAGUUGGUGGGGUAAAGGCUUACCAAGGCGACGAUCCGUAGCUGGUCUGAGAGGACGACCAGCCACACUGGGACUGAGACACGGCCCAGACUCCUACGGGAGGCAGCAGUGGGGAAUUUUGGACAAUGGGGGCAACCCUGAUCCAGCCAUGCCGCGUGCGAGAAGAAGGCCUUCGGGUUGUAAACCGCUUUUGUUCGGGAAGAAAUCCUCUGGGCUAAUACCCCGGGGGGAUGACGGUACCGGAAGAAUAAGCACCGGCUAACUACGUG